rnacentral:rRNA from 1 species
ACACAUGCAAGUCGAACGAGAAUCUACUGAAAGAGUUUUCGGACAAUGGAUGUAGAGGAAAGUGGCGGACGGGUGAGUAACGCGUGAGGAACCUGCCUUGAAGAGGGGGACAACAGUUGGAAACGACUGCUAAUACCGCAUGAUGCAUAGGGGUCGCAUGAUCUUUAUGCCAAAGAUUUAUCGCUUCAAGAUGGCCUCGCGUCUGAUUAGCUAGUUGGCGGGGUAACGGCCCACCAAGGCGACGAUCAGUAGCCGGACUGAGAGGUUGAACGGCCACAUUGGGACUGAGAUACGGCCCAGACUCCUACGGGAGGCAGCAGUGGGGAAUAUUGGGCAAUGGGCGCAAGCCUGACCCAGCAACGCCGCGUGAAGCAAGAAGGCUUUCGGGUUGUAAACUUCUUUUAAGAGGGAAGAGCAGAAGACGGUACCUCUAGAAUAAGCCACGGCUAACUACGUGCCAGCAGCCGCGGUAAUACGUAGGUGGCAAGCGUUGUCCGGAUUUACUGGGUGUAAAGGGCGUGCAGCCGGGUCUGCAAGUCAGAUGUGAAAUCCAUGGGCUCAACCCAUGAACUGCAUUUGAAACUGUAGAUCUUGAGUGUCGGAGGGGCAAUCGGAAUUCCUAGUGUAGCGGUGAAAUGCGUAGAUAUUAGGAGGAACACCAGUGGCGAAGGCGGAUUGCUGGACGAUAACUGACGGUGAGGCGCGAAAGUGUGGGGAGCAAACAGGAUUAGAUACCCUGGUAGUCCACACUGUAAACGAUGAAUACUAGGUGUGCGGGGACUGACCCCCUGCGUGCCGCAGUAAACACAAUAAGUAUUCCACCUGGG